CUAGCGGAGCCUGGUGCGGGGCUCGAUCCCAGAACGCCGGGAUCACGCCCUGAGCCGAAGGCAAGACGCUUAACGACUGCACCACCCAGGCGCCCCUGAAUUCACAUUAUUAUGUGAAGUAUUGCAAAGUUAGGAAUUGAAAUCCAGAUGCUUUUCCUGAGGUUAUAUUUUUAUUUCUGCAGGUCCCGCUCAGUCUGGAAUUUUGUCCGACCGUGAAGUGGUCAAUCUCUUUCUUCAUUUUACUGUCAAUCCUAAACCCCGAGUGGAAUACAUUGACCGGCCCCGUUGCUGUCUGCGGGGGAAGGAGUGCUGCAUCAACAGGUUCCAGCAGGUGGAGAGCCGCUGGGGCUACAGCGGCACCAGCGACCGCAUCAGUUACGACAACAGUCAAGAGUCGGGGAGGUGCAGCACCUCCUCGCUGGACCGUGAGUGAGAGGACUUCUCAGGAAACAAGUGAAGGUAGAAAGGCUUGGGGAGGGUUUGUGCGGCCUGGGUUCUGUUUGGACUGCCACCGCUGGCCAGCGGGCUCUGCACCGUAAUUAUCAGACACUGCUCUAACAGCAUUUAACAGGAGCUUUCUCUUCGCAUGGGAGAUAGCUCCAUAUCCAGUUACAAACCCUUGAAUGGGAAAAAAAUCAAGAAUCUUGAAAGACACAUGGAUAAAAUCCUGUUGAGGAAUUUAUCUUUAUUGUGUUUUCUUUAGGUUAAAUAUCAAAAUAGAAUAAGUACCAGUUUUCAUAAAAAAGACCUUUUGGAUCUUUACUUACUUAAUAGCACUUCAGUAUCAAACUAGGGACUAAUAAUAAGUUUGUUAAAAAAUAAAAUUCUGAGGGGGAAAUAAAUGCAUUUGUGGACUUCUUAAUAAUUAUUCACAAUGAGAACGUUAUAUAUGAAAACCUAUGAGAUGAGGCCAAAGUGUCACAUAAAAGGACAGUAAUAAUGUCUACUUUUAAUAAAUAAAUUAGAGUAGAAAUAAAUGAUUUAAGCAUUCAACUCAAGUAUUUAGAAAAUGAAUAGCAAAAGAAAAUAGAAAAGAGAAGGGAAAUAGAUAAAUGUAGGAAUUAAUGAAUUUAAAACAGUAGAAUUAAGAAAUCCGUAAGCCGGUUCCUUAAAAAAGUCAGCAAAAUAAAUAAACCUCAAAAACAGUAAAGGAAGAAAGCAUACAUUUAGAAGUAAUAAUGGGGAUAUAAUCAUAUACUAAGGCAAUUUUUAUUUUAAUUCUGAGUUUACUCUGUGCUAAUAAAUUGAACAUCUUGAUGGAAUGGAUCAUUUUAUAGGCAAAUAUAAAUUAUCAAAAUUGACUGAAGAAGAAAGCCUGAAUAGACCAAUUACCAAUGGAAGGAAUUAAAAGUUAUCAAAGAACUGUCCCUUCACAAGGUGGUUUUUACAGGUGAGUUUUAUCAAACCUUCAAGGAACAGGUCAUUUCCUUGAGCAUUAAAAGAAGAAAAUACUUCUUGGUUAAUUAUUGAAAGAAGCGUAACACUUAAUGCAGGAAUCUGAUGAGACAAGAACAUUUCCAGAUCAGUCUCAUAGGUACAGAAGAACUUAUGCGUAAGACAUCAGUGUCUUGAAUCUAGCAAUACCUGAGCAAACAUUACUGUACGAGCAAACAGGGUUUAUUUGAAGACUGAGAAAAUGGCUCAAUAUUAGGAAAUAUAUUAAAUAUCCAUUCACCACAGUAGCAGAUCAAGGAAGAAAAGGAAUUUGAUUGUUUCAGUAGGUGUCAGAAAGACUUUAUAAAAUUUCACCUUCAUUCUAGUCUGUUAAUAGACUAGAAAAAUUCUUUCAUGUGAUAGACUGUCAAAACCUCAAGGUAGUGAUGCUGGCUGGUCUUGCUGUGUUUCAGCAGUAUUCUUAUAAUUCUGGGUGAUGUGAUUUAUUUAUGAUUGUCAUAAAGGAUUAAGAGAUUGAAUACUGAAAAGGAAGAAAUCUUUUUCAUUAUUUGCAGAUGACAUUAUCUACAUUAGUACCAUUUUUCCCUUUUUUAUAAUAAAAUGUUUUAUAUUCCCUCUUUAUAAUUUUAUAAUAAAAUGUUUUAUAUUCCCUCUUUACUAACCUGAUGAAAUUCAUAGACUGUAUACUUCACACAUUGUUUUUAAUUACCAUAACGACCUAGUUGUAGUAGAGCAAUAAAUAUAACUGAGAUCAAAUAAAAUAAUGUGUAGGCACUGGAGCAGGACCACACUAGAAGACAGAAGGAAGCAGUCAGUCCGUGUGCACACCAGCGUACCAAGACAGCUACGCUUGCAGGGACAGGCGUGGCAUACCAGCAUGUCAAAAACCAGGAGCAGUGUUGCUGCCAAUAAUGUCAUUUUUUUAAAGGUUUCAAAUAAAACAAAGUACAGUUAGUCCUAUUUAUUUAGUUUCUAGAUUGGCGACACUCUUACUCACUAAAAUUUAUUUGUACUCCCAAAAUCGAUACUUGCAGUGCUUGCUUAAAUCACAGGAAAGAUUUUCCUUGCCUAGGAAGUAUGUUCCUAUCUGAGGGUCACACAAGGAGAUGCUCUCUGCCUUCUUAUCUCUGCUCUCCUGGGAAUGGAGACAGUAGAGGGCAGUACGGUGUAGUGCAGGACAGGCUCUGGGGCCAUGUGGGCAGUAUGAAUCCUGACUCGGCACCUGCUGGUGGGUGGCCUCAGGCAAGUCACUUAACACUUCUGAACCUUUGUUGUCUCUUCUGUAAAAUAAAGAAAUUGGAAUCUACUAGGAUGAGCUGUUUUUAGGAUUAUAACCCCCUGUGAAGUGUGUCUGUGUCUGUGUGUGUGUGUGUGUGUGUCUGUGUGUGUGUGUGUGUACACGUUCCCCCCAGGAGCAAUGGUUUAGUAUUUGUGGCAACUUUAUAGAAUAUGAUUACUACAAGUAAGAAUUGACUAUAUGAUAUUUCUGCUAUAUGGUAAUCACCUCUUGUAAAGGUCAGUGAAUAUUAAAAUUGUCAAAAGCUUUGGUUUAUGCUGAAACGGUGUGUGAUGCUGGGGACUUGGGGACCUGCUCUGCAAGGAGAACAGAGGGUUGGAUAUAAUCCCCUGAUUCCUUCAUGUGUACAGACAUAAGACACAUCCUCUCUGCAGAAAUAAUUUCGCUUUAAAACAACAACAAAAUCUUUGGUUUGUAAAUAAAGUAGAAUUAGGUUGAACUCUUGUAGUUAUAAAUGAGUUUUUGACCUACAUGAAUUCUGAUGGGACACUUGAAAGUUGAUUGGGAUUCUUUGUGGGGAGGCUGUCCUGAUCACUGCAGUUACCCUGGUGCCCCUGGCUCCCUGCCAGCAGUGCCCCUAAACCUUUGUGAAAACAGAGCUUGGCCUUCUUGAGGAAAGAACUCCUUUUGAGAACAACGGAACAUCUGAAUAACCUCAGGAUCAGUAAAAAUCUGUUAGAACCAAUGGAAGAGAAUAGUGGCCACUUGUGAAAUGUAUAUGUAAAAACCAUUGAUGUUCCUGUGUCGUCAGAAUUCCGUGACAGAGAUGGAUGGUGGCAGGGGUUGAAUGUCCUCAGUGCCACUGAACUACACACUUGAAAAUGGCUAAGAUGGUUCGUUUUGUUGUAUAUUUUGCCACAAUAAAAGGCUAAAAUUUAAAAA